rnacentral:rRNA from 1 species
AAUAGAUACCCGGGUAGUCCACGCCGUAAACGAUGAGUGCUAAGUGUUAGAGGGUUUCCGCCCUUUAGUGCUGCAGCUAACGCAUUAAGCACUCCGCCUGGGGAGUACGGUCGCAAGACUGAAACUCAAAGGAAUUGACGGGGGGCCCGCACAAGCGGUGGAGCAUGUGGUUUAAUUCGAAGCAACGCGAAGAACCUUACCAGGUCUUGACAUCCUCUGACAACUCUAGAGAUAGAGCGUUCCCCCUUCGGGGGGACAGAGUGACAGGUGGUGCAUGGUUGUCGUCAGCUCGUGUCGUGAGAUGUUGGGUUAAGUCCCGCAACGAGCGCAACCCUUGAUCUUAGUUGCCAGCAUUUAGUUGGGCACUCUAAGGUGACUGCCGGUGACAAACCGGAGGAAGGUGGGGAUGACGUCAAAUCAUCAUGCCCCUUAUGACCUGGGCUACACACGUGCUACAAUGGAUGGUACAAAGGGCUGCAAGACCGCGAGGUCAAGCCAAUCCCAUAAAACCAUUCUCAGUUCGGAUUGUAGG